rnacentral:rRNA from 1 species
GCGGAGGAAAAGAAAAUAACAAUGAUUUCCCUAGUAACGGCGAGUGAAGAGGAAAGAGCUCAAAGUUGGAACCUGUUUGGCUUAGCUAAACCGGAUUGUAAACUGUAGAAGUGUUUUCCUGACACGCCUGGUAAAAAAGUCCUUUGGAACAGGGCAUCAUAGAGGGUGAGAAUCCCGUCUUUGGCCAGAGCUGUUGUCUUUUGUGAUACAUUUUCAAAGAGUCAGGUUGUUUGGGAAUGCAGCCUAAAUUGGGUGGUAAAUCUCACCUAAAGCUAAAUAUUUGCGAGAGACCGAUAGCGAACAAGUACCGUGAGGGAAAGAUGAAAAGAACUUUGAAAAGAGAGUUAAACAGUAUGUGAAAUUGUUAAAAGGGAACCGUUUGGAGCCAGACUGGCUUGAUCGUAAUCAAUCUAAGCUUCGGCUUGGAUGCACUUGCGGUCUUUGCCUGCCAACGACAAUUUUUUCUGGGGGAAAAAACUAAUGUGAAACGUAGCCCAUCUCGGUGGGUGUUAUAGUCCGUUAGAAAAUACCCUGGAUUGGAUUGAGGAACGCAGUGAAUGCUCUUUAGGGCAAGAUUGCUGGGUGCUUUCGCUAAUACAUGCUAAAAUUUCUGCCUUGGGUGGUGUUAGUGUGUAAAGGAGGAACUCGCCUAGUAUAUUUUUUAUUCGCUUAGGUUGUUGGCUUAAUGACUCUAAAUGAC